GAUGACGCUGGGAACGCGAGCGGCGGAUGGGUGAGUAACACGUGGGUAACCUGCCCUAAAGUCUGGGAUACCGCUUGGAAACAGGUGCUAAUACCGGAUAACAACAAUAGCUGCAUGGCUAUUGCUUAAAAGGCGGCGAAAGCUGUCGCUAAAGGAUGGACCCGUGGUGCAUUAGCUAGUUGGUAAGGUAAUGGCUUACCAAGGCGACGAUGCAUAGCCGAGUUGAGAGACUGAUCGGCCACAUUGGGACUGAGACACGGCCCAAACUCCUACGGGAGGCAGCAGUAGGGAAUCUUCCACAAUGGGCGAAAGCCUGAUGGAGCAACGCCGCGUGAGUGAAGAAGGUUUUCGGAUCGUAAAGCUCUGUUGUUGGUGAAGAAGGAUAGAGGUAGUAACUGGCCCCUAUUUGACGGUAAUCAACCAGAAAGUCACGGCUAACUACGUGCCAGCAGCCGCGGUAAUACGUAGGUGGCAAGCGUUGUCCGGAUUUAUUGGGCGUAAAGCGAGCGCAGGCGGAAAGAUAAGUCUGAUGUGAAAGCCCCCGGCUUAACCGAGGAAUUGCAUCGGAAACUGUGUUUCUUGAGUGCAGAAGAGGAGAGUGGAACUCCAUGUGUAGCGGUGGAAUGCGUAAAUAUAUGGAAGAACACCAGUGGCGAAGGCGGCUCUCUGGUCUGUAACUGACG
rnacentral:rRNA from 1 species